GCAGUCGGGCGGUCCGUCGCGGGUUUCCCGCAUCUUUCUGAUGCGGCAUGAAACGUGAGGAAAGUCCGGGCAACAAGAGCAGCAUACUUUCUAACGGAAAGCCGCGGGCGACCGCAGGGACAACGUGACAGAAAAAAACCGCCCCAUGAAAGGCGGGGGAGCCGCUUCGGCGGCGCUACCACCCCCCGGGGCAAGGGUGAAAAGGUGGGGUAAGAGCCCACCGGACGCCGCCGCGAGACGGCGUGCCGCACGUCCUAUGUGUUGCAAGGUCAAGUAUACCGGCACUCCAGCGCCCGUGUGGCGCGGAGCAAAAAAAGGACUGCUCGUCCUUGCCGGGGGGUAGACCGCUUUAGCCCACCCGAGGGGCAUAGAUAAAUGACGGACAGGCGCCCCGAACGCGGGCCAGGGGUCGAGCGUCAGCUCCCCCGCCGCUCCCGGCGCCUACAUAACCCGGCUUAUAGCCCGGCUGCGCUU
rnacentral:RNase_P_RNA from 1 species